UUGUGUAAUUUAGUCAACAGCUGAAGGUUUUCACCGAAUUGAAAUAGUGGAACAGCAGAAAUGAUCCAAAAGUCUCAUUUGAUUUCACGUUCAAGAUUUUUGUGUCAUGCUAACCUCUGUAUAGUAUGGCAUAUUGAAGACUUUGUGCAACUCUGUUUAAUGUAGUGGGGAUAUUCAUAUUAUCAUCCAGUCAUAUCAUUCUCCAUGAUAUCAUCAUUCCUCUUCUUCAUCGUCACUUCUAUUUUUCGUAAUAAUGCUCCAACUCCUGAAGAGGAGUGGGAAGAGUGGAAAGGAAUGGCAGCUGGGUCUGGGUGGAGCGGAGAGGUUGAUUGUCAAAUUAAAGACACCUCUGCGAAAUUUGAGGAUUAUAUGUUGCCCAAUUCUUAGGCAAAGUUGCUGAAAAAGAGGAAACAAGGAGUGGCUCAACAUUUCUCACAUCCCAAACAUCCAAAUUGAUAAUGAGUUUGUACAGAGAGAUGGAGUUUGGAUCCUACAAGAAGCUGGCGAAACUGCCCUUAAGUACUUCAUCAUCAACUCAUACAUCUUGAUCUUCUUUCUGUGAGAGGCAAACCAGACAUGGAACAACAACAUCAUCAUCAUCAGCACCAUCUUUAGCAAGCAAAGUACAAGCUCGCAAACAGAAAAACGACUGAACCUAAAUAGCCAGUUUAUGUAACUAUAACUUUUGCUACACUAACCUAUUUUGUGUAGCUGCAACAACAACAACAACAACUGCUCUUUUUGUAUAGAUAGAAUGAAGCAGUUGACUGAAGUAUUUUGUAUCACUACAACAGAAGCAACCACUGUUUUUUGAAUGAACUCCAGCAGCAACUUUUCCUAACCAACCCCAGCAUCUAACACAGCUGCAACCGAAGCAAUCAGCUAGAGGAUUUUGGGAGCAAUGACCUUUUUGAACAAGCUCCAGCAACAACCUUUGCUAGAUUAGCUUACAACCCUUAUAUAAAACUAGCAUUUUUGUACCAGCUCCAGUUGAACAAGCUUCAACUAGAAUGUAAUAUGUAUAAUUGUAUAAACAUUGUUUGACUACAAUAAUAUGUAACAAUGUUCCUUUUCUA